CAGCACCUCAAGUGGUCAGGAUGAUUAUUGGGCCUAAAGCAUCCGUAGCUCGUUUUGUAAGUUUUCGGUUAAAUCCAUACGCUUAACGUAUGGGCUGCCGGGAAUACUGCAUAACUAGGAAGUGGGAGAGGUAGACGGUACUCGGUAGGAAGGGGUAAAAUCCUUUGAUCUAUUGAUGACCACCUGUGGCGAAGGCGGUCUACCAGAACACGUUCGACGGUGAGGGAUGAAAGCUGGGGGAGCAAACCGGAUUAGAGACCCGAGUAGUCC
rnacentral:rRNA from 1 species